AACGAACGCUGGCGGCAUGCCUAACACAUGCAAGUCGAACGAGACCUUCGGGUCUAGUGGCGCACGGGUGCGUAACGCGUGGGAACCUGCCCUUAGGUUCGGAAUAACUCCCCGAAAGGGGUGCUAAUACCGGAUAAUGUCUUCGGACCAAAGAUUUAUCGCCUUUGGAUGGGCCCGCGUUGGAUUAGCUAGUUGGUAGGGUAAAAGCCUACCAAGGCGACGAUCCAUAGCUGGUCUGAGAGGAUGAUCAGCCACACUGGGACUGAGACACGGCCCAGACCCCUCGGGGAGGCAGGAGGGGGGAAAAUUGGACAAUGGGCGAAAACCUGACCCAGAAAUGCCGGGGGAGUGAUGAAGGCCUUAGGGUUGUAAAGCUCUUUUACCCGGGAUGAUAAUGACAGUACCGGGAGAAUAAGCCCCGGCUAACUCCGU
rnacentral:rRNA from 1 species